UGAAGGUUAGCCAAUGGUUGGCCAUAUACAUUACAUUGGCACGUUGGUUCAACUUUCGA
rnacentral:pre_miRNA from 1 species